rnacentral:lncRNA from 1 species
CGGACACUAACUUAACAGGGUUUAAAAAAUGAUUAUUUCAUCUGAGAGAGAAUAAAAAUCUUCAUAAAGAAAACUAUUAUUAGAAUCAUUAGUUCCUUGAAGUGAUAUCAUACAGGUGAACUCGUAUAUAUGCACGUGAGACUGAACCAUCUGAUUUCCACCCAAGCUCACUGCAGCUUCACCAUACGUCAUGGGCCUGCAUCCAUCUAAUUAAAGUAUAAUUAUCUUCAUCCACGUUGGUGCAAAUUGCAGCAUCAGAUUUGGCUGCCCAGAAUUAUUUUGUAAAGGCCACACCUAAUGGCGUUGGUUGCAUGCACUUUGUGUAGUUUGGUUUCUCUCCCCUUACAGAAUGCUUGCGCUUGCAUAUACCUGAUUAAAUCUUCGUCCCUCGAAGUGUAACCAUGGGUGACUUCACAUGCCUUAGCAAUUUAGGUGUCUAGGCACAUCCAUAUCUACCAUUUGGGAAUCAUCAAUCAAUAAACCAAUUCGAAUUGAUCAUUCAAACAUAUUAUGUUGACAAAGAAAAAUCAAACCAGUUAGCCAUUCAUAUGACUGCACCCAUGAACAUCGGUUUUACAAAUCGAUCUUCUCGUCAGUUUUUGUGGGCUAAAAAAUUGGCGAGCUACUCCGAUGGCUGGCCCCUGGACUAGAGUUUGCCACCAUUUGCGGUAUCCACAUGGACCAUGCCUCAAACUUUGGUGAGCUGGAUUGAUCUAGUCGUCACGAACGGCCUGUCCUGGUGGGCAGCGCCCAUGAACAUCGGAUUUACAGAUUGAUCUUCCAUCAGAUUUCAUGGGCAACAAAUUUUGCGAGCUACUCCAAUGGCUGGACCCUAGACUGGGGUAUGCAACCAUCUACGGUAUCUACAUAGACGCUGCCUCGAACUUUGGCGAGAUGGAUUAAUCUGGUCGCAAACAGCCUGACCUGGUGGGCAGCAAGAUGGAUUGAUCUUCUGGUCACGAACGGCCUCGCCUGGGCAGCAUCUCGCUCAAAAGUUAAAGAUUGACCAAGAUUUUUGGAUGGUGAAAUAAUUUCCAUGGGGUGAGAGAGAAAGAGAAGAAAGGAAUGGACGAUAGAAUUGUGGAUUUGCUUAGUACGGGGGAGAGAGAGGUACGGUGGUAUAUGUAUAUCUUCCAUCGUGAAGAAAGGGACGCUAGAAGGAUGGAUUCGUUUUUCACAUGAAUAGAGAUUGGAGAGGGGAAGAGACGUUUGAAUAUUUUCUAUCUCAAAAG